AUAUUCUUUACAUUUCAAUUUAUUUUAAAAUUUUAAAAAUUAUUUAAAUGUUAUUAAAAUUUUUUAAUAAUUAUUUUUUUUUAAGUCUGUAAAGGAUUAAAUUAAAUUAUUUUAAAGUAAAUUUAAUUAUUGUACCUUUUGUAUCAGGGUUAAUUAAUUUUCAUAAUUUAUUUUUUUUUCCCGAAAAUUUAAGAUUUUAAUUUAUUUGAUUUUUAUUAUUUCAAAAAUUUUAAUAAAAUAAAUUAAGUUUUGAUAAAAAAAUCGUUUAAUUAGUUAUCUGGUUGUUUUGGAAAUAAAUUUAAUUUAGGAUUUAUAAUUAUUAAUUUUUUUUUUUAAAAAAUUUUUUAAAUCUAAUUUAAUUUAGGAUAAUCUAAUUUAUUUACUAUAAUUUUUUUUGUAAAAGAUUAGGUAGGAUUAAAAUUUUUUUUCUUUAAAAGUUUGUUUUAAAUUAGUCUUUGGUUAAUUUAUAAUUUAGUUUUAUACAAUUUUUUUUAAUUAAAUUAUUUUUUUUGAUUAAUAAUGAUUAAAUUAGUAAAUUUAAUUUUUUAAUUUAUGAAUUCGGCAAAAAUUUUUCUGACUGUUUAACAAAAACAUUUCCUUUAGUUUUUUUUUAAGGUAAAUCCUGCUCAAUGAUAAUUUAAAUAGCUGCAGUAAUUUAACUGUACAAAGGUAGCAUAGUAAUUAGUCUUUUAAUUGAGGUCUAGAAUGAAUGGUUCAACAAGAAAAUAACUUUAUUAAUUUAAUAAAAUUUUAAUUUAAUUUUUUAGUUAAAAAGCUAAAAUUUUUAAGUGGGACGAUAAGACCCUAUAGAUCUUUAAUUUUUUAAAUUAUUUUUUUUUUAGAUAAAUAAAAUUUAUAAUAUUAAGAAAUUUUGGUUGGGGUGACAUUAAAAUUUUAAAAACUUUUUUUUAUAUCUACAUUUGUUUAUGGAAUUCAUGAUCUUAAAUUUUUGAUUAAAAGAAAAAGAUACCUUAGGGAUAACAGCGUAAUAAAUUUGGAUAGUUCAUAUUAAUAAAUUUUGUUUACGACCUCGAUGUUGAAUUAAUUUAAAAAUUUGAAGCAGAAAUUAAAUAUUUGGGUCUGUUCGACCUUUAAUUAGUUACAUGAUUUGAGUUCAAACCGGCGUAAGCCAGGUUGGUUUCUAUCUACUUUUUAUUUAUAUUUAUUUAGUACGAAAGGACUUUUAAAUUAGAAAUAUUUUCU
rnacentral:rRNA from 1 species